GAUGAACGCUGGCGGUAUGCCUAACACAUGCAAGUCGAACGGACUCUUCGGGGUUAGUGGCGGACGGGUGCGUAACGCGUGAGAAUCUGGCUUUGGGUUCGGGACAACCACUGGAAACGGUUGCUAAUACCGGAUGUGCUGAUAGGUAAAAGAGUAAUUGACUGUAGUUGAGCCCGCGUCUGAUUAGCAUGUUGGUGAGGUAAAGGCUCACCAAGGCAGCGAUGAGUAGCUGGUGUGAGAGGAUGACCAGCCACACUGGGGCUGAGACACCGCCCAGACGACUCCGGGAGGAAGCAGUGGGGAAGUAUACGGAAUGGGCGAAGGCAGGACGGAGCAAUACCGCGUGGGGAAAGAAGGAGGUUGGAGUGUAAAAAUGUUUUCUUAGGGAGGAACAUAAUGACGGUACCGAAAGAAUAAGCACCGGCUAACUCCGUG
rnacentral:rRNA from 1 species